AUUGAACGCUGGCGGCAGGCCUAACACAUGCAAGUCGAGCGGAUGAAGGGAGCUUGCUCCUGGAUUCAGCGGCGGACGGGUGAGUAAUGCCUAGGAAUCUGCCUGGUAGUGGGGGAUAACGUCCGGAAACGGGCGCUAAUACCGCAUACGUCCUGAGGGAGAAAGUGGGGGAUCUUCGUACCUCACGCUAUCAGAUGAGCCUAGGUCGGAUUAGCUAGUUGGUGGGGUAAAGGCCUACCAAGGCGACGAUCCGUAACUGGUCUGAGAGGAUGAUCAGUCACACUGGAACUGAGACACGGUCCAGAAUCCUACGGGAGGCAGCAGUGGGGAAUAUUGGACAAUGGGCGAAAGCCUGAUCCAGCCAUGCCGCGUGUGUGAAGAAGGUCUUCGGAUUGUAAAGCACUAUAAGUUGGGAGGAAGGGCAGUAAGUGAAUACCUUGCUGUUUUGACGUUACCAACAGAAUAAGCACCGGCUAACUUCGUG
rnacentral:rRNA from 1 species